rnacentral:rRNA from 1 species
UACGUAGGCAGCAAGCGUUGUUCGGAAUUACUGGGCGUAAAGAGUGUGUAGGCGGUGCUCUAAGUUUGGUGUGAAAUCUCCCGGCUCAACUGGGAGGGUGCGCCGAAAACUGGAAUGCUUGAACAUGGGAGAGGAAAGCGGAAUUCCCGGUGUAGAGGUGAAAUUCGUAGAUAUCGGGAGGAACACCAGUGGCGAAGGCGGCGACCUGGGCAGAUACUGACACUGAGGUGCGAAAGCGUGGGGAGCAAACAGG